rnacentral:rRNA from 1 species
CGGAUCGCAGGCUGCAACCCGCCUGCGUGAAGUUGGAAUCGCUAGUAAUCGCGGAUCAGCAUGCCGCGGUGAAUACGUUCCCGGGCCUUGUACACACCGCCCGUCACACCAUGAGAGUCGGGAACACCCGAAGUCCGUAGCCUAACCGCAAGGGGGGCGCGGCCGAAGGUGGGUUCGAUAAUUGGGGUGAAGUCGUAACAAGGUACC